AGCUGGUUUGACACAAUCUACAUUGUUAAAAGCGAUGUGUAGCUGCCGUCAGAAGCAAUGCUUAUAUAUUACACUCUAUAAACAUAAACUUUACAUUAAAAAGUCAAUAAAUAGUUAAAAUGUUCAAAUUAAUCAUUAGAAUAAAUAAGUAAUGUAUAUUUGUUGUUAAUGCAUGUUAAUUCAUUUAAAGUUAUUUAACUAAAACUAUAAGGGGGAGGGGGGAACCUUUUCUUGUUAUGUUUAGCUUGGGAAUUAUUUCAUUGUUGCAAUGAAGAUAUUCUUCCGAUCCACUACAAGUAGUUCAGCCACAAGGUGCUGUGCUAAAACACGUUUUUAAGGAUUCAAAAGUACAAAGAAGUUUGUUAAAGAGAAACUGCAACCCUUCAAGUUUAUUCCUCUUGAGUUAGAGAGGCCAAUGAGUUCUGACGGCAAUAUUGGGACAUAAAGGAGUGCAAGGCUAGAAUGUACAAGACAUACUACAGACUCGUGUCCGAAUAAAUGUCAGUUAAAAUCAA